rnacentral:sRNA from 1 species
CGUCAUUUUAUCUCAAUUAUAACUAUCAACAACGGAUCUCUUGGCUCUCACAUCGAUGAAGAACGCAGCGAACCGCGAUAUUUUUUGUGACUUGCAGAUGUGAAUCAUCAAUCUUUGAACGCACAUUGCGCGGUAUGGCAUUCCGUACCGCACGGAUGGAGGAGCGUGUUCCCUCUGGGAUCGCAUUGCUUUCUUGAAAUGGAUUUUUUUAAACUCUCAAUUAUUACGUCAUUUCACCUCCUUCAUCCGAGAUUACCCGCUGAACUUAAGCAUAUCAAUAAGCGGAGGAAAAGAAACCAACAGGGAUUGCCUCAGUAACGGCGAGUGAAGCGGCAAAAGCUCAAAUUUGAAACCCUCGGGAUUGUAAUUUGAAGAUUUGGCAUUGGAGAAAGCUAACCCAAGUUGCUUGGAAUAGUACGUCAUAGAGGGUGACAACCCCGUCUGGCUAACCGUUCUCCAUGUAUUGCCUUAUCAAAGAGUCGAGUUGUUUGGGAAUGCAGCUCAAAGUGGGUGGUAAACUCCAUCUAAAGCUAAAUACUGGUGAGAGACCGAUAGCGAACAAGUACUGUGAAGGAAAGGUGAAAAGAACUUUGAAAAGAGAGUGAAAUAGUAUGUGAAAUUGUUGAUAGGGAAGGAAAUGAGUGGAGAGUGGCCGAGGUUUCAGCCGCCCCUCGUGGGCGGUGUACUGCCGACGCCGAGUCAUCGAUAGCGAGACGAGGGUUACAAAUGGGAGCGCCUUCGGGCGUUCUCCCCUAACCCUCCACACUGCCACCGACGACAUAAUCCACCCAUUUCACCC